UGAAGGACUGGUGACAUGGUGACAUUAAG
rnacentral:piRNA from 1 species